GUGACAGCCGCCGCGGUAAGACGAGGGAUCCUAGCGUUGUUCGGAAUCAUUGGGCGUGAAGCGGGUGUAGGUGGCUUUGUAAGUCAGGUGUGAAAGCCCAGGGCUCAACCCUGGAAGUGCAUUUGAUACUGCGAAGCUUGAGUGUAGGAGAGGUUACUAGAAUUCUUGGUGUAGUGGUGAAAUACGUAGAUAUCAAGAGGAAUACCGGUGGCGAAGGCGGGUAACUGGCCUAACACUGACACUCAGACCCGAAAGCGCGGGGAUCAAACAGGAUUAGAUACCCCGGUAGUCC
rnacentral:rRNA from 1 species